rnacentral:rRNA from 1 species
AGAGUUUGAUCCUGGCUCAGAUUGAACGCUGGCGGCAGGCCUAACACAUGCAAGUCGAGCGGAUGAAGGGGGCUUGCUCCUGGAUUCAGCGGCGGACGGGUGAGUAAUGCCUAGGAAUCUGCCUGGUAGUGGGGGAUAACGUCCGGAAACGGGCGCUAAUACCGCAUACGUCCUGAGGGAGAAAGUGGGGGAUCUUCGGACCUCACGCUAUCAGAUGAGCCUAGGUCGGAUUAGCUAGUUGGUGGGGUAAAGGCCUACCAAGGCGACGAUCCGUAACUGGUCUGAGAGGAUGAUCAGUCACACUGGAACUGAGACACGGUCCAGACUCCUACGGGAG